rnacentral:lncRNA from 1 species
GGAAAAACUGUCUCAGUCUUCAGAACAUCUAAGGGACCUAUAUUUGAACAGGUUGGAAGGGGUUCUAAAUGAGAUUAUGUCUACUGUAUAAAAUUCGUCCUAAGGGAUUAACGGAAAUCUACUAUCUCCACAAUUUCAGCCCUUGCUUUCAAAGAAAUUUUUGCAAGACUGCCAGUUGGAAUAAGUAAUUAACACUUCAGCUCAGCUCUGAAAGGGGAAAACAACUGUGGCAUACAAACUCCUGCCAAAGUCAGUUCUCUCACCCAGAAACUG